UCAAAUCCCAGAACCUUCUAAAUGUUUAUAUGUUGAGAGCAUCAAGUGAACUGUCACUUGGAUCAAUGGAUUUAGAAGGUUUUUCGUAGAAAUUCAACCAACUAAAUAGCACAUUUACUCGGGUUAUGAAAAGCUGGGUAAUAUGGUUCCCAUAUUGGCCACUAUAGGAAAUGUCAAUUUUCUCUAGAAUCAGCCAAACUGGACCAAUACUGCCCAUCUCAGGCCAAAUCAGGGCAGCGAGGGGCUUAUUGGGUACCUAUCACCCUAGAAUCAGACUGAUCUAUACUUCUCAAUACUGCUCAAGGUAACUUUUGAAUUGGUUAUUUAGUCUGUUUUCCACCAUUUCAAGGUAGGAACAAGCUUAGGGAAAAUCCGGGAGCUAUCCAGAUACAUUUCCCCGAGAUUCAAAGGAAGUACCAUUAAUUCUCAAAAAAGAAAAACUUGGGAGGUUUAAGUUGUGGGACUUAAAAGGAUGACUCCCAGAUCACAAUCAAGGAAACAAAGGUCCGCAUAUUUAUGACGAGGUGCAAUACAAGGAGGAUAUGAGCCAACACCAUCAGUCCCAUACUAGUACAUUAUACUCGAGCAGUUGUGUGACUCCCUCUACCAAGUGCACAACAUCAACCUGCUAUGCGGUGACAACGACAAGCCCUCUAGGCACUCAAUAUGGUAUCAAGGUGAGAGGCUGCAGUUGUAUGCCAGAAACAUUUCAAAGUUGUUCAAUAAUAUCAUAUAUGUAUACAUUUUUUUGUUACUUUUGGAAUGAGUACUGGUUGUAGACUAUUUCAUCUUGAAUCUUCAAAAGCUCCAGUAGCAUUCAUUGAUUCAAUGAUUUCUUGUAACCUAAUUGCAUUUCAAUUAUUAAUUAUAACACAUGUUUUAAAAUAUCUAUAAUUCCAAGUUAUGUGUUGUUAUGACAUAGAAGAUACCAUACAAAAACCAUGACUAGGGCAUUCAAAUUGAUACGCUUACCAUAUCACAGAGACAAAGCAUCAAGACAGUAAAACUAAGGAAAAGGGGGAAAACAAUUUUGGAGGUCAAAAAAGGCCGUACCAAGGGCAUGCUGACCAUGUUAGAGGACCAGUUCAUGCCCUUUGUUGAUAUGGUGCACAGCCCACACGUAGUUGAUAUUUGUUUGAUUCUCAACAUGUCAAACCUUGAGAUAUCGUUCUUAAUCAGGCAUUCCAUAAAGCAUAAGGCAAUAGUGCCAAAGGAUCAUCUAUGUUGAUUUUAUCUCCCCCCUUUUAUCUUUAUACUUACCUCCUAGUUAUACCUUAAUAAAUUUUUAAUCACUUAAAAGAAAACAUAGAAAUGUAUAUCAACAAAUAUAUCAACUUUUUUCAACAACUUUGAAUAACGAAUUCGAAGAAACAAACAGGUCUAUUUGUGAAAUUAAUAGCGGAGGUCAAGCACCCCAAACCACUUAUUAUUAGAGAAAAUGGUGUGGAAAACCUC
rnacentral:lncRNA from 1 species